rnacentral:rRNA from 1 species
AACGAACGCUGGCGGCAUGCCUAACACAUGCAAGUCGAACGAAGGCUUCGGCCUUAGUGGCGCACGGGUGCGUAACGCGUGGGAAUCUGCCCCCCGGUUCGGAAUAACAGUUGGAAACGACGGCUAAUACCGGAUGAUGACGAAAGUCCAAAGAUUUAUCGCCAGAGGAUGAGCCCGCGUAGGAUUAGCUAGUAGGGGUGGGAAAGGCGCACGAAGGCGACGAUCCUUAGUUGGUUUGAGAGGAUAAUCAGCCACACUGGGACUGGGACACGGCCCAGACUCCUACGGGAGGCAGCAGUGGGGAAUCUUGGACAAUGGGCGAAAGCCUGAUCCAGCAAUGCCGCGUGAGUGAUGAAGGCCCUAGGGUUGUAAAGCUCUUUUACCCGGGAUGAUCAUGACAGUACCGGGAGAAUAAGCCCCGGCUAACUCCGUGCCAGCAGCCGCCGUAA